UCCAGCCUUCAGGGGCAGACCUGACU
rnacentral:piRNA from 1 species